UACGGAGGGUGCGAGCGUUGUCCGGAAUCACUGGGCGUAAAGGGCGCGUAGGUGGCCCGGUGAGUCUUUGGUGAAAGCGCGGGGCUCAACCCUGCGUCGGCCAGGGAUACUGCCGCGGCUCGAGCACUGUAGAGGCAGGCGGAAUUCCGGGUGUAGCGGUGGAAUGCGUAGAGAUCCGGAAGAACACCGGUGGCGAAGGCGGCCUGCUGGGCAGUGGCUGACGCUGAGGCGCGACAGCGUGGGGAGCAAACAGG
rnacentral:rRNA from 1 species